GCGCCGUUGGUGCAGGGGUAGCAUAGUUGCCUUCCAUUCAAUUGUGAGCAACUGGGAAGGGUUCGAGUCCCUUACGGCGCA